GCACAAGCGGUGGAGCAUGUGGUUUAAUUCGACGCAACGCGAAAACCUUACCUGGGCUUGACAUGGAGAGAAUCUUCUGGAAACAGAAGAGUGCCUCGUAAGAGGAGCUCUCACACAGGUGCUGCAUGGCUGUCGUCAGCUCGUGCCGUGAGGUGUUGGGUUAAGUCCCGCAACGAGCGCAACCCUCAUCUCUAGUUGCCAUCAUUAAGUUGGGCACUCUAGAGAAACUGCGCAGUUAAUGCGGAGGAAGUGGGGAUGACGUCAAGUCCUCAUGGCCCUUAUGUCCAGGGCUACACACGUGCUACAAUGGGCGGUACAAAGGGUCGCAAACCCGUAAGGGGGAGCAAAUCCACUUAAAGCCGUCCUCAGUUCGGAUUGAGGUCUGCAACUCGACCUCAUGAAGCCGGAGUUGCUAGUAAGCGCAGGUCAGCAUACUGCGUUGAAUACGUUCUCGGGCCUU
rnacentral:rRNA from 1 species